UACGCAGGGUGCAAGCGUUACUCGGAAUUACUGGGCGUAAAGCGUGCGUAGGUGGUCUGUUAAGUCUGUUGUGAAAGCCCCGGGCUCAACCUGGGAAUGGCAAUGGAUACUGGCAAGCUAGAGUGCGGUAGAGGGUAGUGGAAUUCCCGGUGUAGCGGUGAAAUGCGUAGAGAUCGGGAGGAACACCAGUGGCGAAGACGGCUACCUGGACCAGCACUGACACUGAGGCACGAAAGCGUGGGGAGCAAACAGG
rnacentral:rRNA from 1 species